ACGCGCGCUUCCCUUUAAUUACCCGCCCAAGGCAAGCACUAGAAUCAAACCUUUGGCGGGGAGAAAACUGGGGCGUCUUCAUUGCGAGCGACGAACGGAGCAGCAGCAGCAGCAGCAGCGAGAGAAAACAUUCCCCAACCCAGCAGCGAUAUUCUGUACCGGCUUCCCCAGCAAGCCAGCCACAUUCUGCACGGGCGCUCGCUAGCAGGAGGGAAAGUCAUCUGGCAAGCCAUGGCCCCUACGCACUUUCAGCUUCUCCUGGUAGCCUCCGAGCAAAGGAAGCGGGUUUGGGGGCUCCCGCUUCUUCUUUUGGGGUUGUCUCUUGCCCCACUAAGAUGUGCUGCCUUCAACCUGGACACUAAGUUUGUGGUUCUGAAGAAAGGCAAAACUCCCGACAGUUACUUCGGAUUCUCAGUAGCUCUGCACCAUCAGUUCCAACCGGAAAGAUACCUGAUUCUUGCUGGAGCUCCCCGUGAUGUGGCUAUCAAGAUGGAUAAUAAAACAAAGACAGGUGCUAUGUAUGCUUGUCCUUUGACUGCAAUUCCCAGUGAUUGUACACAGGUGGACUUUCAGGUGAAAAGUGAUCCACAAAAUAAUAUUGUUGAAGACAUGUGGCUGGGGGUGGUGGUAGCAAGCCAACGUAAAGCUUAUGGGCGAGUAAUGGCUUGUGCUCACCGAUACACUCGGAUUUUUGGCAGUGAACAUCAGAGGCGCAUGGUAGGAACAUGCUAUAUCCAUAGCAAUGACUUGAGUCAUCAGGUGAAUGAUUCAUGGCAAACUUAUAAUGAGAUGUGUGCUGCCAACUCAGACUUGGAGAAUACUGGCAUGUGCCAAAUGGGCAUCAGUGGUGGCUUCACAGACAACUUUGUCUAUUUUGGAGCUCCGGGAGCUUAUCAUUGGCAAGGAACGGCUUUUGUGAGCUACCCGGGAAUUUGGGACCAAGUAGAUUUAUCCUAUCCAGAUCGGAAAACUAGACACAUUUACCUAGGAUACGCCACAGAAGCAAGCACCAACGUACUGCACAAAGAAGACUUCUCUUUUAUUAUUGGGGCACCUCGUUUUAAUCACACUGGAGCCGUCUUUGUGAUGUCAAGUGAUGGCCGCAAGGACCUUCAGAAGAGACUGCUUCUCGUUGGCAAGCAAGUGGGUUCUUAUUUUGGCAGCGCCAUUGCCGUGGCUGACCUCAACAGUGAUGGGUGGCAGGAUUUAAUCAUUGGAGCACCACACUACUUUGACCAGAAGGAGGAGAAAGGUGGGGCUGUCUAUGUAUACAUGAACCUUGGGGGAACUUUCUCCAGCCAUCCCAACCUCACACUGACUGGACCCAGUGGUUCUUCCUUUGGUUUCUCUGUGGCUCACAUUGGCGACAUUAACAAAGAUGAUUUUCAAGAUAUUGCCAUUGGGGCACCCUAUGAAGGUUCGGGGAAAGUAUACAUCUACCAGAGUGGUGUAGGUGGUCUUGCUAAUAAGCCACAGCAGAUCAUUAGUGGGGAAGAUUUUAAUCCUGUUGUCAAGACUUUUGGUUACUCCUUCAGUGGCGGAAUGGAUGUGGAUGGAAAUUCCUAUCCUGAUCUCCUGGUGGGAACUCUCUCAGAAAAUAUCUUGCUACUCAGAGCCCGUCCAGUGAUCAAUAUCCUAAACAAGACUUUUACUGUUACUCCAAGCCCUCUGGACCCAAGCAAAUGUACUCAAAGCUCUUGCAUGAAGGUAGAACUCUGCUUCUCCUAUUCUCAAAGUGCUGGAGAUCCCAAAUACAAGGAAACCAUCAAGCUGGAUUACAUUGUGGAAGCUGACCGUUACCGCCGGCCACCCCGUGUAUAUUUUGCUGAGACCAACUCUGCUAUCUACAAGGGACAAUUUUCCAUGCCAAGCAAGUGCCAAAACCUGAGAGUCGUUCUACAGGAUGACAUACGAGACAAGCUCCAUCCCAUUGCGUUCUCUAUGAAGUACUCUCUUUCAGAAAAGCCCCGGAGAUUCCAGUUGGGAUUACGCUCCCUUAAUGCAUUUCCUGUUUUGAAUGAGGAUCAGCCUCGUGAAAACUACACUGAGAUUCAGUUUCAGAAGGAAUGUGGAGCUGACAGCCAAUGCAAUAGCAACUUGCAGAUUCAGGCACUCUUUCUAAAUGAAAAGAACCAAAAGCUGCCCAGACGAGAUGGUGUGCAGGUGUUACAGUACAGCUCGGAAGUCAAGAAACUGAAUUUGACCAUCAAAGUCACUAAUAAGCCAACGUCACCUACCAAUGGAGAGGAUGCUCAUGAGGCUCUCCUCAAUAUCACUUUCUCACCCUUCCUGGUGCCGUCUUCAAUUCGGCCGAGUGGGCUCUGCACUGUCAAAGAGACUGUGAUAUGUGAACUGGGCAAUCCCUUCAAAAAGAAUCAGCAGUUAGAGCUGAUUAUCACAUUUGAAAUUGGUGGGAUUACUUUAUCUACCCAGAAUAUCACUGUCCAGGUUCAACCUUCCACGAUAAGCUAUCAGGAAGAUCUCCAACUAGUGACAGCAGCUUUGUUAGUGGACUACACAGUUGAUGCAUCACUGAGCAUAAUCAAUCGGUGGCUUCAGUCAUACUUCAGUGGGAAAGUCGUAGGAGAAUCAGCCAUGAAGCAUGAAGAAGAUGUAGGCAAUCCCAUUGAGUUCGACUUCCAGGUGACUACGAAGAGUGAGUCUUUAGCUUCCCUGGGAACAAUCACAUUAGGCUUUGAAUGGCCUUAUGAAGCCAGUAAUGGAAAGUGGCUGCUCUACCCCACUGAAAUCUUGAUAAAAGGGAAGGAAGACUGGUAUUGCGAACCAUCUGAAGACGUCAUCAACCCCCUCAAGCUCACUAAAACAGAUCACAACGCUACCUCAGCAAGGAGAAAGCGUGAGUUGCAGGAAUCACCGAAGUCUGAGAUUCCCAUCACCUUAGCGUCUUCAAAGAAAGCCAGAUCACAAACAGCACUGAGUUGUUCCAAAGGAACUUCUCGUUGCAUCUGGUUUGAAUGCCCCUUGUGGAAUAUCGGAGCAGUUACAAAUGUGAAGGCCCGAGCAAGAGUUUGGAGCAGCACUUUCAUUGAGGAUUACAAUGACUUUGAUCGUGUCAAAGUAGAUGGGCAAGUGACUCUUUUUCUCAGGACAAACUCCUCUACAAUCAGUAUGAAAAAUCAAACAGUGUUGUUUACUGUAGACAUCGACUCAGAACUCAGUGAAGAGCAGCAGGCAGAGAUUGAGCUGUGGGUGGUGCUAGUUGCUGUUGCUGCAGGACUACUGCUCUUGGGCUGUAUCAUCUUAUUGCUGUGGAAGUGCAACUUUUUCAAGCCAACCCGCUACUACCGCAUCAUGCCCAAAUACCAUGCCAUUCGCAUCCGGCAGGAGGAGCGCUACCAGCCAGCUGGCGGUUUCUUGCCUCCAAAGCACAAGAAGCGAUGGGUGACAAACUGGCAGGAAACGGGAAGAUACUACUGACAUCUGCCUCAGUUUCCUCCUCUCCUGUGCUCACUCCCAGGCUGUUUAGCUUUCCUUUGUAAAUAUUGCUGGACCAACCAAGGAACUCUUAUUUAUACCUUCCAUCACCUGGCACCAAUCAGAUAUAUUGGACUACAACUCUAAUCAUACUCUGCCAUACUUCAUUUAGAGGGGAGGUUGAAUGAAUUUUGCCUUCUAUAACUGCAAUUGCCAUAUUUCCCAACUCCGGCAUGGAAAACUUGCAGGAUAUAUAGGGUCUGCAAUUGCUUCCAUAGGAUCUUGAACCAAUUUUCCCAGGUCUAACCUCUAUUUUUAGAUCCUAACUAGCCAAGGCAGUAUUGCCGUCUCCCCUAGAAAUAAGGUUUUAUCAAAAACCUUCUUGAAUCUAAUGGUGUGGAUGAAGCCUGUUUAGUUCUGGGCCAGUAUCAGUUUCCACCCUUCCUAUAGAAUAAGUACUGGAUAUUUCAGCACUGGAACUUGUACUGGACUAAGGAUUACUGGCUAUAAUUUAGUCCUAUUUUUAAUUCUCUGGCAGGAAGGGUGGUUUCACUAGUAAUAGUACUAUUAUCUUAUUUUUAAGAAACUCUAAGAAAGCUUGAAAUGAGGAGUGUAGCAUUUUAUUUUUUUAACUUAAACAUUAGUUUUAAUGACUUUGAUCACUGGCUGGGUUUGAGACAUGCCAGGGAGUAGUUCAUUGCAGGAUUAGCUCCUGGCUACAGGAGGCCCUAGAUAGCAUCCUUUAGUGGGCUCCUUCCUGCAUUAGUGAGCCUUGGUAGGAUCUUCAUGCUUUUCACAGUAUUUGACAACAGUGCUAUGUCAGUGACGAUAGGACAGAUUUUGUUUUAAAGAGCAAUUUUAAAAUGAUAUCCAGGUGGGUCAGGUGUUGGCAGCUGUUCUUUUGCUAAAAGGAUUCUACAAUUUUCAGCUACAGCUUACUAAAGUUGUGCAUUCCUGGGUGAAGUGUGAUUUAAUUAUAAAGAAAGUCUAAGCCAUGGCUUCCUUCAUAACUGAACUGGGUCAAAGAGCAAAGUGAACAAUAGAGUCUUAAAAGUAGGCAACUCCUUUUCAAUAUUAAACAACUUUUAGAGAAGCCCAGUGGAAUGGGUAGUGAGAUAAGAAUGGCUGAAGCUAGCUGGGCAACUAAGAGAGAACAAGGUUCACCUACACACUACCUGUUCCCUGGCUACCAUGUUGAAUCAAGAGGAGAAAUUAAUGUCUUUUGCUUCACAUAAGAAACCUACGGAUUUAUGCGGAUCAACUUCUGCAGAGUUAAUCUUGCCAAAAAAUGCUUCGGUUUUCUGACUUGGGAUGUAUCCAGCAAUUCAGUUUAAUAAGAAACAAUAUUGGACUUGCCAACUCAGAGAAAUGAAAAUAUCUUUGGAAAACAGCAAAAAGAAGCACAAAAUAAUUGUGGUACCUUAAAUUCUUGCUUUUAGCUCACAUCUAAUUAUCUAUUAUGCUGGCCAACAUUUCAGACUUGUUUUUUUAAUCUAGGCUCUAAGCAAAGACUCUUGUGUUUGAUGUGUUGGACUGCAACUCCCAGUAUUCCCAAACAGCAUGGGAUUAUGGUACUUGUAGUCUAUUGCAUUUGGAAAGCAAUGGGCUAGAAAACUGCCUUAAUUUAUCUUAUUUCCAUGAGCCAAGGAUGGUUGCUGACCUCUGCACUAAACAAAAUUGAACCUAAACUACCAAAAUUGGGGCUUAUUUUGAUGUGUGAAAACUCCCUUAAAAGGGAUUGACCUUCUUUGGAUUCUAUUCCACAUGUCAUUGUCAAGAAAAUUUGAUUUCAUUCACUGAGUAUCCAUCCUUGACAAUAGUCAUAUUUUAUUUGCCCAUUCCUUCCCAUCUCCCAGGCAUGUUUUAAAUUACAAAGAAUGUCUUUAGUGAUGUAAAUACAUAAAUACAUUCAUAUAUAAAUAAAUGAAUCUAUAUAUAUAUUUGAUGUUUACUGGAUUUUCCCAUUGUUUAUGGUACUGGAGGUCUUGAAUCAUUGUGCCUUGAUUGUAAAUAAGCUUGAGUGUCUAUUUUAUGAAUAAAAAAUAUUAUGAUU